rnacentral:rRNA from 1 species
CCUACGGGAGGCAGCAGUGAGGAAUAUUGCUCAAUGGGCGCGAGCCUGAACCAGCCAAGCAGCGUGAAGGAUGACUGCCCUACGGGUUGUAAACUUCUUUUAUAAAGGACUAAAGUGAGACACGAGUGCCUUUUUGUAUGUACUUUAUGAAUAAGGAUCGGCUAACUCCGUGCCUGCCGCCGCGGUAAUACGGAGGGUCCGAGCGUUAUCCGGAAUUAUUGGGUGUAAUGGGAGCGUAGAUGGGUUGUUAAGUCAGGUGUGAAAGUUCGCGGCUCAACCGUGAAAUUGCAAUUGAUACUGGCAGUCUUGAGGACAGUUGAGGAAGGCGGAAUUCGUGGUGUAGCGGUGAAAUGCGUAGAUAUCAGGAAGAACUCCGAUUGCGAAGGCAGCUUACUAGACUGCAACUGACAUUGAUGCUCGAAAGCGUGGGUAGCGAACGGGAUUAGAUACCCUUGUAGUC